rnacentral:rRNA from 1 species
GACAGAGGGUGCAAGCGUUGUUCGGAAUUAUUGGGCGUAAAGGGCGCGUAGGCGGCUGAGCAAGUCGAACGUGAAAUCCCUGGGCUUAACCCAGGAAGUGCAUUUGAUACUGCUCGACUUGAGUCCCGGAGAGGGUGGUGGAAUUCCCAGUGUAGAGGUGAAAUUCGUAGAUAUUGGGAGGAACACCGGUGGCGAAGGCGACCACCUGGACGGAGACUGACGCUGAGGCGCGAAAGCGUGGGGAGCGAACAGG